rnacentral:rRNA from 1 species
CCUACGGGUGGCAGCAGUGGGGAAUAUUGCACAAUGGGGGGAACCCUGAUGCAGCGACGCCGCGUGGGUGAAGGAGGGCUUCGGCGCGUAAAGCUCUAUCUUCAGGGAAGAAGAUGACGGUACUUGACCAAGAAGCCACGGCCAAACCCGUGCCCGCAGCCGCGGUAAUACGUCGGGGGCAAGCGUUAUCCGGAUUUACUGGGCGGAAAGGGGGCGCAGGCGGGUAUUCAAGGCCGGAGUGAAAGCCCUGGGGCCAACCCGGGGAUUGCUAUUGAAACGGGAUGGCUGGAGUACAGGAGAGGCAGGCGGAAUUCCGGGUGUAGCGGUGAAAUGCGUAGAUAUUAGGAGGAACACCGGUGGCGAAGGCGGCUUGCUGGACUGUGACUGACGCUGAGGCACGAAAGCGUGGGGAGCAAACAGGAUGAGAUACCCCAGUAGUC